rnacentral:rRNA from 1 species
UACGUAGGGGGCCAGCGUUGUCCGAAGUUACUGGGCGUAAAGAGCGCGUAGGCGGGUCUUUAAGUGAGAGGUGAAAUUCUGAGGCUCAACCUCGGAACUGCCUUUCAUACUGGGGACCUUGAGUGCGGGAGAGGCGAGUGGAAUGGUCGGUGUAGCGGUGAAAUGCGUAGAUAUCGAUCGGAACACCCAUGGCGAAGGCAGCUCGCUGGCCUGCAACUGACGCUGAGGCGCGAAAGCCGGGGGAGCAAACAGG